CCCGCAACCGCUACAUUCUGCGCCGAACCCACUCUCCCCCGGUCCGUAUUUUAACUUCUUCCCACAGACCUACUUGUACCUCGUUGGGUACCGGGAGACAGUUUGGAUUACUAGCAUUACGGAUUGAGUGGGAUUUUACGCGGAUGACGACUCCUUCAACGAGAAUUUAGUAAAAGAAAAUCGGUCGGAAAAUUCAGAACAUGUGGAAGAGACCUUAAUGUCAGCAUCCUGGAAGUAGAAAGCACAGAGGAUCUGUGUCUCAUAUCACAGACAGGUGCAGUGUAUAGCCGGGGCAGCACAGAAGAAGGAAACUCAC